rnacentral:rRNA from 1 species
AACAAACGCUGGCGGCGUGUCUUAAGCAUGCAAGUUGAGCGGCAAGGAGGAGAGAUCCUCCCUAGAGCGGCGGACUGGUGAGUAACGCGUGGGUAAUCUAUCGUAGGCAUGGGGAUAGUCACUAGAAAUAGUGGGUAAUACCGAAUACGUUCCAUGAGGGGAGUAUUCAUGGAAGAAAGGGUGCUACGGCACUGGCCUUAGGUGAGCUCGCGUCCCAUUAGCUAGUUGGUGAGGUAAAGGCCCACCAAGGCGAUGAUGGGUAGCCGGCCUGAGAGGGUGUACGGCCACACUGGGACUGAGAUACGGCCCAGACUCCUACGGGAGGCAGCAGCUAAGAUAUUCCGCAAUGGACGAAAGUCUGACGGAGCGACGCCGCGUGGAUGAAGAAGGCCGAAAGGUUGUAAAGCUCUGUCGUGGAGGGACGAAGAAAGUGACGGUACCUCCGGAGGAAGCCACGGCUAACUACGUG